GAUGAAGAACGUAGCGAAAUGCGAUAAUUAAUGUGAAUUGCAGAAUUCAGUGAAUCAUCGAAUCUUUGAACGCACAUUGCGCCCAUUAGUAUUCUAGUGGGCAUGCCUGUUCGAGCGUCAUUAAUUCCACUUAAGCCCUGCUUAGUGUUGGGAAUCUACUCUAGUGGUGCUACCCUGGAGCUACCCCUGAAAGGGGGCUGGCCCGGUAGCUACCCUGUAGUUCCUCAAAGAUAGUGCGCGGAGUUGCGUGGUCCUCUGAGCUUAGUAACUAUACACCUAGCUUUUGAGUGUCCCGCGGCGCCUGCCGUUUAAACCCCAUCUUUUAAUGGUUGACCUCGGAUCAGGUAGGAAUACCCGCUGAACUUAAGCAUAUCAAUAAGCGGAGGA
rnacentral:misc_RNA from 1 species